UACGUAGGGGGCAAGCAUUGUCCGGAAUCAUUGGGCGUAAAGAGCGCGUAGGCGGUCCGGUAAGUCCGCUCUGAAAGUCCGGGGCUCAACCCCGGGAGGCGGGCGGAUACUGUCGGGCUAGAGUCCGGAAGAGGCGAGUGGAAUUCCUGGUGUAGCGGUGAAAUGCGCAGAUAUCAGGAGGAACACCAAUGGCGAAGGCAGCUCGCUGGGACGGUACUGACGCUGAGGCGCGAAAGCGUGGGGAGCGAACAGG
rnacentral:rRNA from 1 species